rnacentral:rRNA from 1 species
UACGUAGGGGGCAAGCGUUGUCCGGAUUUAUUGGGCGUAAAGAGCGUGUAGGCGGCCAGAUAGGUCAGCUGUGAAAACUCGAGGCUCAACCUCGAGAUGUCGGCUGAAACCAUCUGGCUAGAGUCCGGAAGAGGAGAAUGGAAUUCCCGGUGUAGCGGUGAAAUGCGCAGAUAUCGGGAAGAACACCCGUGGCGAAGGCGGUUCGCUGGGACGGUAUUGACGCUAAGGCGCGAAAGCGUGGGGAGCAAACAGG